GCAGGCCUAACACAUGCAAGUCGAGCGGUAGAGAGAAGCUUGCUUCUCUUGAGAGCGGCGGACGGGUGAGUAAUGCCUAGGAAUCUGCCUAGUGGUGGGGGAUAACGUUCGGAAACGGACGCUAAUACCGCAUACGUCCUACGGGAGAAAGCGGGGGACCUUCGGGCCUCGCGCCAUUAGAUGAGCCUAGGUCGGAUUAGCUAGUUGGUGAGGUAAUGGCUCACCAAGGCUACGAUCCGUAACUGGUCUGAGAGGAUGAUCAGUCACACUGGAACUGAGACACGGUCCAGACUCCUACGGGAGGCAGCAGUGGGGAAUAUUGGACAAUGGGCGAAAGCCUGAUCCAGCCAUGCCGCGUGUGUGAAGAAGGUCUUCGGAUUGUAAAGCACUUUAAGUUGGGAGGAAGGGUAGUAACUUAAUACGUUGCUACUUUGACGUUACCGACAGAAUAGGCACCGGCUAACUUCGUGCCAGCCGCCGCGGUGAUACGAAGGGUGCAAGUCGUUAAUC
rnacentral:rRNA from 1 species